UACGGAGGAUGCGAGCGUUAUCCGGAUUUAUUGGGUUUAAAGGGUGCGUAGGCGGGCUUUUAAGUCAGCGGUAAAAAUUCGGGGCUCAACCCCGUCCGGCCGUUGAAACUGGGGGUCUUGAGUGGGCGAGAAGAAGGCGGAAUGCGUGGUGUAGCGGUGAAAUGCAUAGAUAUCACGCAGAACCCCGAUUGCGAAGACAGCCUUCCGGCGCCCUACUGACGCUGAGGCACGAAAGUGCGGGGAUCGAACAGG
rnacentral:rRNA from 1 species